AUUGAACGCUGGCGGCAGGCUUAACACAUGCAAGUCGAGCGGGGAAAGGUAGCUUGCUACUUGACCUAGCGGCGGACGGGUGAGUAAUGCUUAGGAAUCUGCCUAUUAGUGGGGGACAACAUCUCGAAAGGGAUGCUAAUACCGCAUACGUCCUACGGGAGAAAGCAGGGGACGUCCGGCCCUGGCGCGAAUAGAUGACCCUAAGUCGGAUUAGCUAGUUGGGGGGGUAAAGGCUUACCAAGGCGACGAUCUGUAGCGGGUCUGAGAGGAUGAUCCGCCACACUGGGACUGAGACACGGCCCAGACUCCUACGGGAGGCAGCAGUGGGGAAUAUUGGACAAUGGGGGGAACCCUGAUCCAGCCAUGCCGCGUGUGUGAAGAAGGCCUUUUGGUUGUAAAGCACUUUAAGCGAGGAGGAGGCUACCGAGAUUAAUACUCUUGGAUAGUGGACGUUACUCGCAGAAUAAGCACCGGCUAACUCUGUGCCAGCCGCCGCCGUAAAAC
rnacentral:rRNA from 1 species